ensembl:snRNA U2 U2 spliceosomal RNA
AUCGCUUCUCGGCCUUUUGGCUAAGAUCAAGUGUAGUACCUGCUCUGGCGUGGGGGGGGGGUGCAUCCUAGCUAAGGGAUGCACUGGUCUGCCCCUCCUCACUGCCGGGCAGAGAGGCACUUGAUCCUCU